rnacentral:rRNA from 1 species
GAUGAACGCUGGCGGCGUGCCUAACACAUGCAAGUCGAACGGAGUUAUGCAGAGGAAGUUUUCGGAUGGAAUCGGCGUAACUUAGUGGCGGACGGGUGAGUAACGCGUGGGAAACCUGCCCUGUACCGGGGGAUAACACUUAGAAAUAGGUGCUAAUACCGCAUAAGCGCACAGCUUCACAUGAGGCAGUGUGAAAAACUCCGGUGGUACAGGAUGGUCCCGCGUCUGAUUAGCUGGUUGGCGGGGUAAGAGCCCACCAAGGCGACGAUCAGUAGCCGGCCUGAGAGGGUGACCGGCCACACUGGAACUGAGACACGGUCCAGACUCCUACGGGAGGCAGCAGUGGGGAAUAUUGCACAAUGGGGGAAACCCUGAUGCAGCGACGCCGCGUGAGUGAAGAAGGUCUUCGGAUCGUAAAACUCUGUCCUUGGUGACGAAAGAAAUGACGGUAACCAAGGAGGAAGCCCCGGCUAACUACGUGCCAGCAGCCGCGGUAAUACGUAGGGGGCGAGCGUUGUCCGGAUUUACUGGGCGUAAAGGGUGAGUAGGCGGUCAUAUAAGUCAGGUGUAAAAAACUAAGGCUUAACCAUAGUUAGCACUUGAAACUGUAUGACUUGAGUGCAGGAGAGGUAAGCGGAAUUCCUAGUGUAGCGGUGAAAUGCGUAGAUAUUAGGAGGAACACCGGUGGCGAAGGCGGCUUACUGGACUGUAACUGACGCUGAGUCACGAAAGCGUGGGUAGCAAACAGGAUUAGAUACCCUGGUAGUCCACGCUGUAAACGAUGAGUGCUAGGUGUUGGGCAGCAAUGCUCAGUGCCGAAGUAAACACAAUAAGCACUCCGCCUGGGGAGUACGUACGCAAGUAUGAAACUCAAAGGAAUUGACGGGGACCCGCACAAGCAGCGGAGCAUGUGGUUUAAUUCGAAGCAACGCGAAGAACCUUACCAAGUCUUGACAUCCCCCUGACGGGCCGGUAACGCGGCCUUUCCUUCGGGACAGGGGAGACAGGUGGUGCAUGGUUGUCGUCAGCUCGUGUCGUGAGAUGUUGGGUUAAGUCCCGCAACGAGCGCAACCCUUAUCCUUAGUAGCCAGCACGUGAAGGUGGGCACUCUAGGGAGACUGCCAGGGAUAACCUGGAGGAAGGUGGGGAUGACGUCAAAUCAUCAUGCCCCUUAUGAUUUGGGCUACACACGUGCUACAAUGGCGUAAACAAAGGGAAGCGAGACAGUGAUGCGGAGCAAAUCCCAAAAAUAACGUCUCAGUUCGGAUUGUAGUCUGCAACUCGACUACAUGAAGCUGGAAUCGCUAGUAAUCGCGAAUCAGCAUGUCGCGGUGAAUACGUUCCCGGGUCUUGUACACACCGCCCGUCACACCAUGGGAGUUGGAAAUGCCCGAAGCCUGUGACCUAACUGUAAGGGAGGAGCAGUCGAAGGCAGGUCUAAUAGCUGGGGUG